rnacentral:rRNA from 1 species
UUAGAGUUUGAUCCUGGCUCAGAAUCAACGCUGGCGGCGCGCCUAACACAUGCAAGUCGCACGAGAAAGCCGGGGCAACCUGGUGAGUACAGUGGCGUACGGGUGAAUAACACGUGGGUUACCUGCCCUCUGGUGGGGAAUAACCCUGGGAAACCGGGGCUAAUACCGCAUAUUCCCGAAAGGGGAAAGCCGAAAGGCGCCGGAGGAGGGGCCCGCGGCCGAUUAGCUAGUUGGUGGGGUAAUGGCCCACCAAGGCUGUGAUCGGUAGCCGGCCUGAGAGGGCACACGGCCACACUGGCACUGAAACACGGGCCAGACUCCUACGGGAGGCAGCAGUGGGGAAUCUUGCACAAUGGGGGAAACCCUGAUGCAGCGACGCCGCGUGAGCGAUGAAGCCCUUCGGGGUGUAAAGCUCUUUCGGCAGGAACGAUAAUGACGGUACCUGCAGAAGAAGCUGCGGCUAACUACGUGCCAGCAGCCGCGGUAAUACGUAGGCAGCAAGCGUUGUUCGGAGUUACUGGGCGUAAAGAGUGUGUAGGCGGUUUGCCAAGUUUGGUGUGAAAUCUCCCGGCUUAACUGGGAGGGUGCGCCGAAAACUGGCAGGCUCGAGUGCGGGAGAGGAGAGCGGAAUUCCUGGUGUAGCGGUGAAAUGCGUAGAGAUCAGGAGGAACACCUGCGGUGUAGACGGCUCUCUGGACCGCAACUGACGCUGAGACACGAAAGCGUGGGUAGCAAACAGGAUUAGAUACCCUGGUAGUCCACGCCCUAAACGAUGCACACUUGGUGUGGGCAGUUCAUUCUGUCCGUGCCGUAGUUAACGCGUUAAGUGUGCCGCCUGGGGAGUACGGUCGCAAGGCUGAAACUCAAAGGAAUUG